GCGGGUAGCAAUACCUGGCGGCGAGUGGCGGACGGGUGAGGAAUACAUCGGAAUCUACCCUGUCGUGGGGGAUAACCAACCGAAAGGUUGGCUAAUACCGCAUACGACCGAGAGGUGAAAGCGGAGGACCGCAAGGCUUCGCGCGAUUGGAUGAGCCGAUGUCGGAUCAGCUAGUUGGCGGGGUAAGAGCCCACCAAGGCGACGAUCCGUAGCUGGUCUGAGAGGAUGAUCAGCCACACUGGGACUGAGACACGGCCCAGACUCCUACGGGAGGCAGCAGUGGGGAAUAUUGGACAAUGGGCGCAAGCCUGAUCCAGCAAUGCCGCGUGUGUGAAGAAGGCCUUCGGG
rnacentral:rRNA from 1 species